UUAAUAAUACGUAUAAAUAGAUUAUAUCGAUUCAUAUAGAUUUUAUUGAUUGUCUUGCUAAUUGACCAAUUAUUUAGAGAAUCUGGUUAGUUAAUAAGAGAAGAUCUAUGGCAUUAAUUCUGUCUCGAUGUGAAGUGAAUAGAGAAAUUGAAUAAGAUAGUGAUAUCCAAUACUUAACCCAAGUAAUACUGAAAUUACUUUGAGAUACUGAAAUUCGAAAAUUGAUAGUUUAUAAUUUAUAUUACAUCGUCAAAUCGCUAUAUAGAAGAGUUACACAAUUUAAAAAAAAAAACAGUAAAUUUACAAAAUUAUUUAAAUAGGAUUUAAUCCUUCAUCGUCGCAUAUUGGUGUAACUCUACAUCACAUUUCGUAUAUGAUAAUAUCAUAUAUUAUAUAUGUUGCAUUAUUGUGUUAUUAAAAUAUUGAUGUAGCAGAAAACUACAAAAUAUUAUCUUAACAAUAAUAACUGACGAAAUCAGCGUGAAAAUUAGUGAUUAUUCAAUUAUUUAACAACGAAAGUAUUUUUUAUAGUGAUCGUCAGUCUGCAAGGCAAUACUAUGUAUCGAAUAUAUCGAAUCGAUUGAUAUCGAAUAUCUCAAGCAUGAAUCGAUAAUUUCAAUUUUAUUUUGCAUGCCGUUAUAUGUAUGAAUGAAAGGAAUUAGUUUAUAUAAUUUUGGACAGUUACCUUUCGAUUAACUCUAAGAAUAAAAGAUUUCUUGACAAUCUUGAACAUUGGCAUAUACAAGCGUAGAAAUGGAACUAUCUUAAUGGUUCUGACAAUUAUUUAUCGAUCUAUUGAAUUAUGUAAUCGGUACUUCUCUCAUGAAAAUGUUCAUACUUCCAUAAUCCGUAACCAAAGAUGACACAAAUAUGCUUUGACCAGAUGUCAACGCUUAAAACGAACAGAAAUGAUCGACGCAAAAGGGUAAUUCGUAAUAAUGCAUUGUUCUUUUUUUCCGUUUAUUUGUCUUCAUUUCAUUCGGUUCAUCGAAACAAUUAAACACCACCGUUUCCGUUUAACAAUACUCUUGCAUUUUUAAAAUUUGAAUACACAUUUAAAUACUGAACAAUUACUAUGUACACCUGACGCGUCUACUUUUUCAGAGAACAUCUUUAAUACACCGAAGAUUUUCUACAUCCACUUGAACACGUUAUUUUUCUCUUUGAUUUUCUUUAAGCAAGAGUAAGGAAAAAAGGUCUAUAAAUAGAAGAAGAGAAAAAAGAGAAAUAUAACAUUGAGGAUAGAAAGAAAUGAAAGAAGAAGAGGAAAGAGAGGAGGUCGUAUUCAACUCUUGAUCCACCGAUUACUAGUUAUUUUACUCUGUUUAAAAUCGACAAUCCCAGCAAUAUGCAUAUAAGCUCAGUCCCUACUAACACAAGUCGAUGACAGAGAUGGUAAACGCGCGAGAAGCCACAUAUUUCUACUUUGUUCUUGUUUCUUUUUUCAUUUUUUAGCCAAGUGUUGUAGUUGUAUUCCUGGCUGAUUAUCGCAUUACUUUAUUAUCUAUCACUACUGCUUAUUAUUACUAUCGUUAUCCACGUUAUCGACAAGAAAUCCGCUUACAGUGAUAGGGACCUAAGUUUAGUUUUAAAUCUUGAGAAGAGGUGAACGUGAAACUCACUAAUCUCAAAUUAUCUUCUUCUUUGGUUUCUUUUUAAAAUUUACCUUUGAAAUUAACCUUUCUAUUUUUUUUUUUAGCGCUAAAUAUAUAUAUUCCAUGUAUUAUAUUUAUUUCUCAUUUAAAUGUAAGUUAAUAAAAAUACAAUAUACAUAUGAAAAUGCAAAGUAUACGUUAAGGGAUGCACUUACCGGCUCGUGAAGAAGCUCGUGAUUCACUAAGGAAAAGCAGAAAAAAUAUGUUAGCAAAAAAGGUUGCUGAGUUCUUUAUAAAAUUGUAGAAACAUCUCUAGUAAUAUUGAACACAUUAUCUUUUGUUACAUUAAAUGAGAUAAUAUGGUAUUUCGCUGCAUAUCAAUUUCUCAUUUCUCUUUGGAGCACAAUCAAACAAAAUUUAUAAAAUGAUCUUUAAAAAGAAGAUAUUGGUAUCGAAAUAUAUUUUACGGGACUAAAAAAAAAUGAUGUUCAAAUAUUUCUUUAAUUGAAGUUGAUAAAAAAAAAAUAAUGUAUAUAAUAAAAAAUAUAUGAAUGUUUAAAAUAUAGAAUGAGGAAUCAUAAGUUAUGAACAGAGGUAAAAGCUCUAUUCGCAUUCAAUUGUAAAGACAAAACCAAAGGAAUGCACAUUUUUUAAUAUAUUUUACAAAACGUUCUAUUCGUACAGCAUAUAAAACAAUACUCUGUAUUUAUUUUAUAUUCACACAUUAGCUCUAUACGACUGUACCACCUUUCGUUAUAUGUAGAAUAUAACUUUAUACAGUAUUCGGCGCGAUUUUCAAAUGUCAGUACUAUGAAAGUGCGGUAUCCUUUUGUCGUGUGGUUC